GUAGGCAGCGAGCGUUGUUCGGAGUUACUGGGCGUAAAGGGUGUGUAGGCGGUUCUUUAAGUUUAGUGUGAAAUCUCCCGGCUCAACCGGGAGGGUGCGCUGAAUACUGAGGGACUAGAGUACGGGAGAGGAAAGUGGAAUUCCUGGUGUAGCGGUGAAAUGCGUAGAUAUCAGGAGGAACACCGGUGGUGUAGACGGCUUUCUGGACCGUAACUGACGCUGAGACACGAAAGCGUGGGUAGCAAACAGGAUUAGAUACCCUGGUAGUCCACGCCCUAAACGAUGCAUAUUUGGUGUGGGUCAUUCAGUUGAUCCGUGCCGGAGCUAACGCGUUAAAUAUGCCGCCUGGGGAGUACAGUCGCAAGGCUG
rnacentral:rRNA from 1 species